rnacentral:rRNA from 1 species
GAUGAACGCUAGCGGCAGGCCUAAUACAUGCAAGUCGAACGGGUGGUCGCAAGACCACUAGUGGCGCACGGGUGCGUAACGCGUAACCAACCUGCCCCGAUCUGGGGUAUAGCCCGCCGAAAGGCGGAUUAAUACCGCAUAUACCCGCAGCCUGGCAUCAGGCAACGGGGAAAGAUUUAUUGGAUCGGGAUGGGGUUGCGUGACAUUAGCUAGUUGGCGGGGUAAGGGCCCACCAAGGCGACGAUGUCUAGGGGACCUGAGAGGGUGAUCCCCCACACUGGCACUGAGAUACGGGCCAGACUCCUACGGGAGGCAGCAGUAGGGAAUAUUGGGCAAUGGGCGAGAGCCUGACCCAGCCAUGCCGCGUGCCGGAUGAAGGCCUUCUGGGUUGUAAACGGCUUUUCUCAGGGAAGAAAAAGACCUUGCGAGGUACACUGACGGUACCUGAGGAAUAAGCACCGGCUAACUCCGUG